UUUAAUCGAUUCUGACGGUGCAAUCGUUUAAUUAGCAGUAGGUUAGCUCACAAUUUUCAAUAUAAUUAUAGUUAUUAAGUAGAACAAUGCUAUGUAUCGUAGUAUGUUAUUGCAACAGUCUCAAUCUUGUUGUGAUGUUGAUGUAUGUGCAGGUGGACUUCUACAUCUUCCAGAGUCAGGGGGCCAAUCAUGCAGUGAGGGAGGCAGUCUGCAUCUGUACUGCAGAGCUAGGCACUAAGGUGAAGGAUUGUCUGAAAAUGACUGGUGAGUGGUACUGUUGUAGUGUUUCCAUGAUGAUGUGUGGAGCUUUAUGGUGUAGUGGGGUAUGGGAUAAAGUUUCAUUCUCCUGCUGGGAGAGCUGAGUGGUGUGAGUGGGUGUAGUGACCGAGUGUCCUCCCUCCUCUCCCUCUGUGCUGAGACACUACGACACAGACACUACCCUCAACACAUCAACCUCCUGGAGACACUGCUCAAA